rnacentral:rRNA from 1 species
AGCAGUGGGGAAUCUUAGACAAUGGGCGCAAGCCUGAUCUAGCCAUGCCGCGUGUGUGAUGAAGGUCUUAGGAUCGUAAAGCACUUUCGCCAGGGAUGAUAAUGACAGUACCUGGUAAAGAAACCCCGGCUAACUCCGUGCCAGCAGCCGCGGUAAUACGGAGGGGGUUAGCGUUGUUCGGAAUUACUGGGCGUAAAGCGUACGUAGGCGGAUUGGAAAGUUGGGGGUGAAAUCCCAGGGCUCAACCCUGGAACUGCCUCCAAAACUAUCAGUCUAGAGUUCGAGAGAGGUGAGUGGAAUUCCAAGUGUAGAGGUGAAAUUCGUAGAUAUUUGGAGGAACACCAGUGGCGAAGGCGGCUCACUGGCUCGAUACUGACGCUGAGGUACGAAAGUGUGGGGAGCAAACAGGAUUAGAUACCCUGGUAGUCCACACCGUAAACGAUGAAUGCCAGUCGUCGGGCAGUAUACUGUUCGGUGACACACCUAACGGAUUAAGCAUUCCGCCUGGGGAGUACGGUCGCAAGAUUAAAACUCAAAGGAAUUGACGG